CAGCAGCCGCGGUAAUACCAACCCCGCGAGUGGUCGGGACGUUUAUUGGGCCUAAAGCGUCCGUAGCCGGCCCGGUAAGUCCCUCCUUAAAGCCCACGGCUCAACAGUGGGAGCGGAGGGAUACUGCCGGGCUAGGGGGCGGGAGAGGCCGGGGGUACUCCUGGGGUAGGGGCGAAAUCCUAUAAUCCCAGGAGGACCACCAGUAGCGAAGGCGCCCGGCUAGCACGCGCCCGACGGUGAGGGACGAAAGCUGGGGGAGCAAAGGGGAUUAGAUACCCCCGUAGUCCCAGCUGUAAACGAUGCAGGCUAGGUGUUAGGCGGGCUUCGUGCCCGCCUAGUGCCGUAGGGAAGCCGUUAAGCCUGCCGCCUGGGGAGUACGGCCGCAAGGCUGAAACUUAAAGGAAUUGGCGGG
rnacentral:rRNA from 1 species